ensembl:lncRNA
AUGGUGUUUUCAUUUUUCAUCGUCACCCUCCCUUUCUCUUUCUCUAGGGUGAGAGGGGGAAUAAUGGUGUGCCUGAGACCCCUGGGACAAGCGGUGAAACUGGGCUCAGAGGCAGAAAAGGAGAGGUCUACAGGCUGCUCGUUAUGGCGCACACCUGUCACCAUCGUUACGCGCACCUGCACGUCGUCAGACUCACCUGGACAUCACUUCGUUGAUUACCUGCCCUAUAUAUGUCCCUCCCUUUGGUACCAUUCCCCAGGUUUCAUUGUUUCUGUUUCAUGUCUGUGUGUUGUUCGAGGUUCUUGUUUUGUAUUAUGUUCUGUUUAUUUUCUUAAAACAGUUUUUUGUUUUUUUUGGUCAGGCUCCCCUGCCUCAGCCGGCUCGACAGGCUCCCCUGCCUCAGCCGGCUCGACAGGCUCCCCUGCCUCAGCCGGCUCGACAGGCUCCCCUGCCUCAGCCGGCUUGUCGGGCUUUCAUGCCUUUGCCAGAUCCCCUGCGUCCACUGACUCGUCAGGCUCUCAUACCUCAACCGGAUCGCCAGGCUCCCCUGCCUCAGCCGGUCUGGCAGGUUCCCUCGUCCCAGCCGGCGACAGGUUCCUGCGCAUCAGCGGGGGUGACCGGUCCGCCCCUGAUCCCCAGGAUCGUCCCUUGGGUUGGCAUCCUGCGGCUGGUGCCAAACACGCCCGGGAGGGGGUACCGUCAGUUAUGCUCUCUCUCCGGCACUCUAGGUCGCCAUGCUCCUGCGUCUCAGCCGGAUAGAGUUUCCUGUGCCUCUGCAGAGGUGUCCGGUCCGCUCCUGUUCACCGGGAUAGUCACUUUGGGUGGCGUUCUGCAGCUGGAGCCGCGCGUCGGGAAGGGGAUACUGUCAUGUGUGCUCCCUCUCCGACCUCGUUACGCGCAUCGUCAGACUCACCUGGACUCCAUCACUUCGUUGAUUACCUGCCCUAUAUAUGUCCCUCCCUUUGGUUCCUUCCCCAGUCAUCAUUGUUUCUGUUUCAUGUGUGUGUGUUGUUCGAGGUUCUUGUUUUAUAUUAUGUUCUGUUUUAUUUUAUUAAAACACUCACUCCCUGAACUUGCUUCCCGACUCUAAGCGCACGUCGUUACUCACUCUCUCACACACAGUAUCUUCUGUUUUGCAUUUGAGUAUAUGCAAUGACCCUGUGCACAAUUGACAUACUUACAAAUGCGUCUUAAGAAGACAGUGAUCGUAAUUGCAAUGAGCCCAACAAUUGACAUAAAUACAGGAGUCUUGUAUAGGAGUGUAGUGUUUCUCCUGUUGGAACAUUUUUACAACCUAGUCGAUGACUGAUGGAUUUUAAAUGAACAAAAUAUGUUGGUUGGGUGACUAAACUACAUAACGUGUUAUCGUGUGCAAUGGGAGAGUCUGCAGACACACGGCGCUUACAGCAGCAGAACAACGUGUAGUGAUUUUACAAGAGUAGGUAACACCAAAAGCUUCAGUUUACAUUAAUGACCAGCUAUUUGCUGUCAGAGCAGCUCACAGAUCACUGCAACUGUACAUAGCCCAUCUAUAAAUAGCCCAAACAACUACCUCUUCCCCUACUGUAUUUAUUUAUUUAGCUCCUUUGCACCCCAGUAUUUCAACUUUGCACACUCAUCUACUGUCAAAUCUACCAUUCCAGUGUUUAAUUGCUAUACUGUAUUUACUUCCCCACCAUGGCCUAUUUAUUGCCUUUACCUCCCUUAUCUCACCUAAUUUGCUCACUUAUUUUCUACUGUAUUAUUGACUGUAUGUUUGUUUUACUCCAUGUGUAACUGUUGUUAUAUGUGUCGAACUGCUUUGCUUUAUCUUGGCCAGGUCGCAGUUGUAAAUGAGAACUUGUUCUCAACUUGUCUACCUGGUUAAAUAAAGGUGAAAAAAGAAUAAUAUACAGUGCCUUGCGAAAGUAUUCGGCCCCCUUGAACUUUUCGACCUUUUGCCACAUUUCAGGCUUCAAACAUAAAGAUAUAAAACUGUAUUUUUUUGUGAAGAAUCAACAAGUGGGACACAAUCAUGAAGUGGAACGACAUUUAUUGGAUAUUUCAAACUUUUUUAACAAAUCAAAAACUGAAAAAUUGGGCGUGCUUAAUUAUUCAGCCCCCUUAAGUUAAUACUUUGUAGCGCCACCUUUUACUGCGAUUACAGCUGUAAGUCGCUUGGGGUAUGUCUCUAUCAGUUUUGCACAUCGAGAGACUGAAAUUGUUUCCCAUUCCUCCUUGCAAAACAGCUCGAGCUCAGUGAGGUUGGAUGGAGAGCAUUUGUGAACAGCAGUUUUCAGUUCUUUCCACAGAUUCUCGAUUGGAUUCAGGUCUGGACUUUGACUUGGCCAUUCUAACACCUGGAUAUGUUUAUUUUUGAACCAUUCCAUUGUAGAUUUUGCUUUAUGUUUUGGAUCAUUGUCUUGUUGGAAGACAAAUCUCCGUCCCAGUCUCAGGUCUUUUGCAGACUCCAUCAGGUUUUCUUCCAGAAUGGUCCUGUAUUUGGCUCCAUCCAUCUUCCCAUCAAUUUUAACCAUCUUCCCUGUCCCUGCUGAAGAAAAGCAGGCCCAAACCAUGAUGCUGCCACCACCAUGGUUGACAGUGGGGAUGGUGUGUUCAGCUGUGUUGCUUUUACUGUCAUGUAUUGUCAUGUUGUGUCUUUCUGUCCUUUCCUUUCACCCUGUCUCCCUCUGCUGGUCGUAUUAGGUUACCUUUUCUCCCCCGCUUUCCCCCAGCUGUUCCUUGUCUCCUCCUAACUACCCAUUCACCCCGUUUCCCACCUGUUCCCUUUUUCCCUCUGAUUAGGUCCCUAUAUCUCUCUCUGUUUUUGUUCCUGUCCUUGUCGGAUUCUUGUUUGUUGUGUUUCAUGCCUGAACCAGACUAUCGUCAUGUUUGCUGUAACCUUGUCCUGUCCUGUCGGAAUCUGCCGGUCUGUCUGAACCUACCUGUGUUUGGUAAUUAAAGAAGCUCUGUUAAGUUAAUUCGCUUUUGGGUCCUCAUUCACUCACCGUG